rnacentral:rRNA from 1 species
GACAGAGGGUGCUAGCGUUGUUCGGAAUUACUGGGCGUAAAGGGCGCGUAGGCGGUCUGUUAAGUUCGGUGUGAAAUCCCCUGGCUCAACUGGGGAACUGCGCUGGAAACUGACAGACUCGAGUACCGGAGAGGAGAGUGGAAUUCCUGGUGUAGCGGUGAAAUGCGUAGAUAUCAGGAGGAACACCGGUGGCGAAGGCGGCUCUCUGGACGGUACUGACGCUGAGACGCGAAAGCGUGGGGAGCGAACAGG